rnacentral:rRNA from 1 species
CCGUGAAUUAAGCAUAUCACUAAGCGGAGGAAGAGAAACUAACAAGGAUUCCCCUAGUAACGGCGAGUGAACGGGGAAUAGCCCAGCACCGAAGCCUGUGGCUGUUUGGCCAUCAGGCAAUGUGGUGUUCAGGUUGUCUCGCAGAAGUGCUGCUCCAUCCUAAGUCCAAAAAUGAGUACGGUAGUACGGACAUGGCCCACAGAGGGUGAAAGGCCCGCGGGGGUGGAGAUCAGCUAGGCCAGUGCUUCUCUGAGCAAGCCUUCGAGUCGGGUUGUUUGAGAUUGCAGCCCAAAGUGGGUGGUAAACUCCAUCCAAGGCUAAAUACUUGCACGAGUCCGAUAGCGAACAAGUACCGUGAGGGAACGUUGAAAAGUACUUUGAAGAGAGAGUAAACAGUGCGUGAAACCGCUCAGAGGUAAACGGGUGGAGUUGAACCGAGAACUGCGAGGAUUCAACUGGUGAGUGUGGUUUGAGCUCGGCAUGGUUGUUGGCUCUGCGGGUCUGCUUAGCUGCAGGUCCCACCCCCUGGGUGUGGAUGCGCGGUGCACUUGUCAAGUGAUGCGCGCUCGUGGAGUAACUCGGACAUGCUCGUCAGUGCACUUUCUCGCAGUGUUCACCACGACCGGCGCCGCCGCUCGUCUGACGUGGUCAAACCGGUUUUGCUUAGUCCUUGUGGCUUUGUCUAAUCGGGAUGGCAGGUAGCUCGUUGACUUGUGUCGACCGUGGUUGGCACGUUUGCGGUUUUCGAGUGCGAUUAACUGACCACGUCGUAACCUUGCGGUGCGUCGGGGACGGCGGCUUUUGGUGUGUGCGUGCGUGUCUGUUUGCUGACGGGACCGGGUGUGGUUAUUGUGUUGCCUGUUCGGCAGGCCUAGUGAUGGCCCGGUUCUGCUUGGUGAAUGGAUGCGUAAGUGACACUUAUCAGGGCCUACAGUCCGUGGUGUUGUGGUAGACUAUCCACCCGACCCGUCUUGAAACACGGACCAAGGAGAGUAACAUGUGCGCGAGUCAUUGGGCGUCACGAAACCCAAAGGCGAAGUGAAAGUAAAGGCUUGACUUGUUCAAGCUGCGGUGAGAUCCUGUCGUUUCUCAUGCACGGUACUUCCGGGCGUUCGAGCGAUUGGCGCAUCACCGGCCCGUCCCAUGGUGUGGUCGCCGUCUUCGGACUGGUGCAUCACCGAGGCGGCGCAUGAGCGCGCAUGUUGAGACCCGAAAGAUGGUGAACUAUGCUUGCGCAGGUUGAAGCCAGAGGAAACUCUGGUGGAGGACCGCAGCGAUUCUGACGUGCAAAUCGAUCGUCAUACGUGAGUAUAGGGGCGAAAGACUAAUCGAACCAUCUAGUAGCUGGUUCCCUCCGAA